AUGUACCACGCGUACACGGCGGUUCCUCCGCCGUCAGCACUCACCUGACGACUGCUCGCUACGUUUUGUUAGCC
rnacentral:sRNA from 1 species